UCAAGCGUCAAAAGGGCAUCCGGGGGAUGUCUUGGCGGUAAGAGGCGAUGAAGGACGUGGCACUCUGCGAUAAGCGCCGGGGAGGCGAGAGCACCCUGUGAUCCGGCGAUUUCCGAAUGGGGAAACCCAUCUCAAUGUUGGCAGGUUUAUGGCGGGUCACCUUGGUGGCGCGCUAUCGGCCUACCAACUUCUAAACGAGAUAUUUCACACUGAAUACAUAGGUGUUGAAAAGCAAACCCGGGGAAUUGAAACAUCUAAGUACCCGGAGGAAAGGACAUCAACCGAGACUCCGUUAGUAGUGGCGAGCGAACGCGGACCAGGCCUGGUCUGAAACAAGGCGAAGUGUAUGGAAAUGCACGCCAUAGUGGGUGAUAGCCCCGUAGCCGUAAAAUGAAGACCUUUUCGAGUAGGGCGGGACACGUGAAAUCCUGUCUGAACAUGGGGGGACCACCCUCCAAGCCUAAGUACUCCUUACCGACCGAUAGUGAACAAGUACCGUGAGGGAAAGAUGAAAAGCACCCCGAUAAGGGGAGUGAAACAGACCCUGAAACCGGAUGCCUACAAGCAGAGGGAGCUCUUCGGAGUGACCUCGUACCUUUUGUAUAAUGGGUCAGCGACUUAGUGUUGCGUGCAAGCUUAAGCCGUUAGGUGUAGGCACAGCGAAAGCGAGUCUGAAUAGGGCGAAUUAGUACGUAGCAUUAGACCCGAAGCCGAGUGAUCUAGGUAUGGGCAGGGUGAAGGUGCGGUAACACGCACUGGAGGCCCGAACCGUUGAACGUUGAAAAGUUCUCGGAUGACCUGUGCCUAGGGGUGAAAGGCCAAUCAAACUCGGUGAUAGCUGGUUCUCCGCGAAAUCUAUUUAGGUAGAGCGUCAGACGAAUACUCCAGGGGGUAGAGCACUGGAUGGGCUAGGGGUCCUCACCGGAUUACCAAACCUUACCAAACUCCGAAUACCUGGAAGUACUAUCUGGCAGACACACGGCGGGUGCUAACGUCCGUCGUGGAGAGGGAAACAACCCUGACCGCCAAUUAAGGCCCCCAAGUAACGACUAAGUGCGAAAGGAUGUGGAGGUGCUGAGACAAUCAGGAGGUUGGCUUAGAAGCAGCCAUCCUUUAAAGAAAGCGUAACAGCUCACUGAUCAAGCGCCUCUGCGCCGAAAAUGUAACGGGACUAAAGUCGUUCGCCGAAAUUGCGGACACGUAAGUGUGGUAGCGGAGCGUUCCGUAAGCCUGCGAAGGUGACCUGCGAGGGUUGCUGGAGGUAUCGGAAGUGAGAAUGCUGACAUGAGUAGCGAUAAAGCGGGUGAGAGACCCGCUCGCCGAAAGUCCAAGGGUUCCUGCGUAAAGCUAAUCUGCGCAGGGUUAGCCGGCCCCUAAGGCGAGGCCGAAAGGCGUAGUCGAUGGGAACACAGUUAAUAUUCUGUGGCCAUGGAGUGUGUGACGGAUUGCGGAAGUUGUCAUCCCUUAUUGGAUUGGGGUGGCAGCCAAACAGUCCCUGGAAAUAGCCCUCCUUUAGACCGUACCCUAAACCAACACAGGUGGACAGGUAGAGAAUACCAAGGCGCUUGAGAGAACUAUGCUGAAGGAACUCGGCAAAUUACCUCCGUAACUUCGGGAGAAGGAGGCCUUGUCUUAGGGCAACCUAAGGCGAGGGGCACAGACCAGGGGGUUGCGACUGUUUAUCAAAAACACAGGGCUCUGCGAAGCCGCAAGGCGACGUAUAGGGUCUGACGCCUGCCCGGUGCCGGAAGGUUAAAAGGAGGAGUGAGAGCUCCGAAUUGAAGCCCCGGUGAACGGCGGCCGUAACUAUAACGGUCCUAAGGUAGCGAAAUUCCUUGUCGGG
rnacentral:rRNA from 1 species